UCUCUUUAUAGCUCAGUUGGUAGGGCAUGAGACUCUUAAUCUCAGGGUGGUGGGGUUGAGUUCCUCAUUGGCCAAAAGAU